GACGAACGCUGGCGGCGUGCUUAACACAUGCAAGUCGAACGAUGAUGCUGGAGCUUGCUCCAGUUGAUUAGUGGCGAACGGGUGAGUAACACGUGAGCAAUCUGCCCUUGACUCUGGGAUAACUGCGGGAAACUGUAGCUAAUACCGGAUACUUUCACCGGAAGGCAUCUUCUGGUGAUGAAAGAAUUUCGGUCAGGGAUGAGCUCGCGGCCUAUCAGCUUGUUGGUGAGGUAACGGCUCACCAAGGCGACGACGGGUAGCCGGCCUGAGAGGGUGCCCGGCCACACUGGGACUUAGACACGGCCCAGACUCCUACGGGAGGCAGCAGUGGGGAAUAUUGCACAAUGGGCGCAAGCCUGAUGCAGCAACGCCGCGUGAGGGAUGACGGCCUUCGGGUUGUAAACCUCUUUUAGUAGGGAAGAAGCGAAAGUGACGGUACCUGCAGAAAAAGCACCGGCUAACUACGUGCCAGCAGCCGCGGUAA
rnacentral:rRNA from 1 species